GACGAACGCUGGCGGCGUGCUUAACACAUGCGAGUCGAACGGAAAGGCCCUGCUUUUGUGGGGUGCUCGAGUGGCGAACGGGUGAGUAACACGUGAGUAACCUGCCCUUGACUUUGGGAUAACUUCAGGAAACUGGGGCUAAUACCGGAUAGGAGCUCCUGCUGCAUGGUGGGGGUUGGAAAGUUUCGGCGGUUGGGGAUGGACUCGCGGCUUAUCGGCUUGUUGGUGGGGUAGUGGCUUACCAAGGCUUUGACGGGUAGCCGGCCUGAGAGGGUGACCGGCCACAUUGGGACUGAGAUACGGCCCAGACUCCUACGGGAGGCAGCAGUGGGGAAUAUUGCACAAUGGGCGGAAGCCUGAUGCAGCAACGCCGCGUGCGGGAUGACGGCCUUCGGGUUGUAAACCGCUUUCGCCUGUGACGAAGCGUGAGUGACGGUAAUGGGUAAAGAAGCACCGGCUAACUACGUG
rnacentral:rRNA from 1 species